GCCCUGCUCCUGCAGUGAGCUCAGCACUCAGGCUUUUGUUCAAUCCACUUCUGUAGGGCGAAGAGCACAGUGCUUGCGACACUUCUGGUUCCUUCUGUGAGUCACCUUUGGGAGUUAUUCCUGUAACGAGCCUCCCAGAUUUCCCAAGACUUUUCAGUAUUUCAUUUUUCCUUGAUGAAGACGUGAGUGAGAUGCAGAGAGACAGCCCAGCUCCUUCCCUGAGAAGGGCGGGUCCAGCCUUGGCACAGAGCCCAUUCUGCCCAGCCGCUACAAUGAAUCUCACUGGGAACUCUUUGUCCCAGCUCCGCAGGGAACCUGGCCCUGUGAUCUGGAUAAGGAAAGGCCUUUUCCUAUCUUUCUGGCUUGCCUUCCAGCCCCAUUGUUUGCAGCCUGUUUGCAUAGCCAAGCUUGGCCAGCAGGGCCAGGGUAGGCACAGGUCAGGCUAGAUGCUGUCCUCUCUGGGUCCUCUUAACUCUCACUUUUUGUCCCAGAGGCCACUGGGUGGCUCAAGGUACAGUCUGAGAAGGCUUCUCCCAGCCCAGCGUUAGGUGAGGAGGGGUAAUUCCUAUCUGGGGUGGUUUUUUGUUUGUUUUGUUUCUGGGAUAGGGUCUCACUGUACAGUCCAGGCUGGCCUCAAACACACGAUCUUCCUGUCUUAGCCUCAUGGGUGCUGGGAUUAUAGGUGUGCACCUUCCUGGCUUUCAAUCUGUAUUACUGAAAGAUGUCACAUGAAUGUGUGGCCAUGGCAGGCUCUCAGUAAUACAACCAUGACCAAACAUGGUGGUGUAUCCCAAGCACUCAGGAUGCAGAGGCAGGAGGAUCCCCAUGUAUUUGAGGUCCACCUGGGCUACAUAGUGAGACAUUGUCUCAAAAAAAACAAAACUAAACUAAUACAGCCAUUGGGGUACUGCUCAGUGGUACAGAGCUUGCCUAGCAUGGCCCUAGGUUUGAUCCUCGGUACCACCAAAAGGGAGGAACAAAGGAGAAACAAACAAACUGACAAAGUACAUACUCAGUAGUACAAUCAUUACUAAUAGUUGUAGGGUAGUGGGAAGGAUAGGAAAUCUUUUGGGUGUGUGAGGGGACCGAGGAAAAUCUUUUUAUCUGUUCUGCUCCACAAAUGGCUUUUUUUUUUGUCCUGGAAAUCGAACUAAGGACCUUGUGCUUACCAGGCAGGAACAAUCCUAGUCAGCACCUCCCAACUCAGCACCAAGAGCUCUGUGUGCCAGUGGAGUGGCCCGGAGUACUGACCUGCUCCUCUCCCACACCUGGGGCUUCCGAGCUCCUGUCCUAGCAUGACUGUCCAUCCACAUCACUCGUUCCUCCUCGGGCUCUGAAUGGAGGUGGAAAAUGCUCAGAGGUCUGUGUGGUACAGGGAGAAGGAAGGCACAUGGAAAACGUGGAUUGGUAAGAGAUGACUGGCAACAUUUAGGAGCUAGCUGGGAAGAGCCGAGAGACAGGAUUUCAAAGAAAACAAUCACUUUGCAGAGGUGAUUAGGGAGGGGGGGGGUCUUUACUUUCUUUAAUAUGCCAGCAAUCAUCCCUUCUCAGCUUCUGUACAACCAGUUUUGGGCCAAUCAUCGUUGACCUGAGACUCCAGGCCUUCAGCAAACAGCUAUAGAAACUGCUGGGAAAAGAGCUCCGGCAGCCAAGGCUCUCUGAAAGUUCCUGGAGCAUCUCUGCAGGCCCCAAACCACACAUCUCCUACUACCGGGUUCCCUAAGGACUGGGCAGGACCCCAGCCCCUUACCUGCCAGCCAUGGCCAGAGCCAGCCGGAGGAGUGGCCCUGAGUGGCCUGUGGCAGGACCUGGGCUCCAGCUCAAGGAAUGUGCGGGAACCACUGCAGGCUGCUGCCACGAGGGAGUCACAGCACCAGGCACACCAGGCCAUCCCUUCCAUUCAGUCCACCCAGCUGGAGUCUUCUGGGCCUAGGAGUCCAGAAUGGAGAGUGGCUUUUGUGAAGACCAUUUUGGAACGGGUUAGGGUAGGUGUAUAAUAAGAGGACCUGAGAUAGCUGUUGUGCAUAUGGCUAGUGUAAUGGGCAGGAGUCAGGUGUGUCACACACACGCACAUGCACAGUAAGUAAUUCAGAGAGUUUGAUACAGAGACUGCCACAAAGGCCAGGCCAGGCUGUUGCAAAGCCAUAGGGUGACUGCAGGACCAGUGUGCCAAGAAGAGGCCCUGAUCCAUAACACCUGGCUGGGUGAACCUGAGACCAGUGACAGCUCAGAGAUGGACACAGAGAACCAUGUGGCACCUUCAGGUGACCCAAAGCCACCCUGGAAGAGCCCCCAGGGAGUUAGGGUUAAGCUUGACCCUACACCUCUGCUCAGGAGUUUCCCAUGCGCCAGGCACAUCAGGGAGGACAUGUGUAGGGCACAGCUAGCUGAUGUUUACGUGGUUUUAAUUUUGAAGUUGAAAGACAAGUGUAAAAAUAGCUUCAAUCAGAUGUCCUGCAAGUCACAAAUUGUCACCCUAAAAUGUCCUGCGUCCCUGGACCCAUUUGUGGAGAGCAGACUCUCUCUUGGAGACUGGGUUGGCUGUCCUCAGUCACAUACCUUCCUGCCCGCUGGAGAGCCAGGCCCUCUGUCCAGGAAGUGCUCGGCGUAAGUACAACACAUGGCUCUGACCCUGCUCGGCGACUCUGCCCCUGCCCCUGUACCGAGUUCUACCUGAAGAAAAAUCUUGAUGGGCGAAAAUUACUUUAAAAUGACAAUAAGAAAAGUUUACCUUUUGUUUUUUUAAAGCAAAAGAACAAGGAAGCUGGAUCGAGGGUACCUAAACCCAUGUGUAGAGCACAGCAUUAAGAACCAAUCUCGGGGCUGGGGAUUUAGCUCAGCGGCAUAAGCGCCUGACUUGCAAGCAGGCAGUUGUGAGUUCGAUCCCUGGUACCGAUAAAAAGGAAAAAGACAAAAAAAAAAAAAAAAAAAAAACAAAAAAAAAAAACCAAUCUCAUUUUCUACCGACAAAGAAUUGAAGAGAAGCCAAUUUAUUGGGUACCUCCUAGUUGUAUGAUCUUGGCAGGUCUCUCAGCCUCUCUGUGCCUCUAUCCUCUCCUUUAUAAAAUGGAAAUAAUCACUCUC